UGAUAGGCUGCAUGUGUAAGCGCUGUGAGGCGUUCAGCUUGGCAGUACUAAUAGACCGAGGGCUUGACCAG
rnacentral:rRNA from 1 species